rnacentral:rRNA from 1 species
AGUGAACGCUGGCGGUAGGCCUAACACAUGCAAGUCGAACGGCAGCACAGUAAGAGCUUGCUCUUACGGGUGGCGGGUGGCGGACGGGUGAGGAAUACAUCGGAAUUUACUUUUUCUUGCGUGAUAACGUAGGGAAACUUACGCUAAUACCGCAUACGACCUACGGGCGAAAGCAGGGGAUCUUCGGACCUUGCGCGAUUGAAUGAGCCGAUGUCGGAUUAGCUAGUUGGCGGGGUAAAGGCCCACCAAGGCGACGAUCCGUAGCUGGUCUGAGAGGAUGAUCAGCCACACUGGAACUGAGACACGGUCCAGACUCCUACGGGAGGCAGCAGUGGGGAAUAUUGGACAAUGGGCGCAAGCCUGAUCCAGCCAUACCGCGUGGGUGAAGAAGGCCUUCGGGUUGUAAAGCACUUUUGUUGGGAAAGAAAAGCAGCAGGUUAAUACCCCGCUGUUCUGACGGUACCCAAAGAAUAAGCACCGGCUAACUUCGUG